rfam:Nitrospirae bacterium GWD2_57_9 gwd2_scaffold_665, whole genome shotgun sequence.
UCCCGACAAAGCCGAUCCCUUUCAGAAGAGGGGAGCGGAAAGCGGCGGGUCUUGAAAAGACGGCCGAGCUGCCGAA